AGGGUGUUACGAUGUUGGAGAAAUCCUAGUCUAGCCCACGGCGAGUUUUUAACUUGC
rfam:Pediococcus stilesii strain DSM 18001 Scaffold3, whole genome shotgun sequence.